rnacentral:lncRNA from 1 species
GGAAUGAUACAUUAUUUCACAUGUAGAUUUUCUUUCAAUACAAAAGUCUUACUGUUGCAUUCAUCUUCAGAAGAGUCUUUAGUGAUAGCCACACAACCUGUCACCCUUAAUUUGUGCAAAGAAUCCAGUAGAUAAUUUAGUUCUUUUUGGGUUCCAUUUUAUAGCCUAAAUGGUUCUUGUGAACGCUACUGAAAUAGAUGAACAUAGGUUUUUAUGGGACUUCAAAAAUUUGACAGUACAGAAAGUAGGAAAGUG